rnacentral:rRNA from 1 species
CAAUAGCGUAUAUUAAAGUUGUUGCGGUUAAAAAGCUCGUAGUUGGAUUUCUGUUGAGGACGGCCGGUCCGCACUAUGUGCGUGUAUCUGGUUCGGCCUCGGCAUCCUCUCGAAAGCCGUUUCUGCGCUUGAUUGCGUGGUUCGGACUUCGGGACUUUUACUUUGAGGAAAUUAGAGUGUUCACGGCAGGCAAGCGCCUUGAAUAUAUUAGCAUGGAAUAAUAAUAUAGGAUCUUGGUCCUAUUUUGUUGGUUUCUAGGGCUAAGAUAAUGAUUAAUAGGGACAAUUGGGGACAUUCGUAUUAACGCGUCAGAGGUGGAAUUCUUGGAUUGCGUUACGACGAACUACUGCGAAAGCAUUUGCCAAGGAUGUUUUCAUUGA